UACUAAAUAUAGAUUUAUUGCGGCUUGGUAAACUUUAAAACCAUCAAUCAAUUAAAUAUUGAUUGCCAGGAUAAAAUAGUCCAAAAGCAUCCAAGCUGCCAAGAGGCUGUGCAUCUCCCGUGACAGACAGAGUUACCCUUUGGGUUUGACUGACGCCCACAUCCGUCCAUGCACAGCGACAGCUUCCCCAAAGCCAUUAACUGCUCUGUGCCUUCUCUUGUGGCACAGUGGAGUCUCGGUCUCUACCCCAACAUCUCCCUGCGGCCACUGAAGUCCUCGCUGGAUUUUGCAAAUUUCCUGUCAACUAAGAAGGGAGGCAGCAAACCUGACUACCAGCUGCACAAGGAAGUGAGCAGGCGUCCAGGAGCCCUUCUGAGAGGCUCGAAGACUUUGCCAGACUCUGCCUUUCUUCUCCCCUUGCCCCAGCCCUUCCUCAGCCUCUCCCUUUCAUGUGAGAAGAGAGGCUCACCGCAGAGGUCUCACUUUCCCACCACACUACAGCUUCUCUUGGUCAGAGUAUUCAGACUCAAAGAAAAGCUCUCACCUUUCCCCAAGAGAUCCUGCUGCUCCCUCCUACUGGCCAGGCCCUUGGCUAGUUGACUGUAAAAAUAGCCUAGAAAAAUACCUUUGAUAAGAUAUUCUAGAGGUCAGGUAAACUGUCCCCUGAUCCUGUACUAUUGCCACCAGCAAGUGACCUCCUAGCUGUCAGUGUUCCCUCUGUGGACCACCUGGUAUGUCACAAAGGUUAGAGAUCGUCCCAGACUUAGAAGCCUCUUUCUAACAAUGAGCCCAAUUGACAGCAGCAUGGGGAGGGCCACCUGUGCCUGUCCCCAACUUCAUCAUCAAAAGAGGAGAGCAAGAGCCCCCAGCUCAUCCUCCAAGGUCCAGCAUGGGAUUGGCACUUAUGGCACGAGCUGACAAGUGGCUUCAGAUGUGGCAAUGGCUCCUCUGGCCACUGUGGGUAUAGUCCACACUGACACCACUGUCAUCUUUGGCUCUGGAUUUCACUCUGCUAAAUACUAUGCCAGGUAAAAAGGAACGGUGUGCCCCACCCUAGCCCUUUGCACAGUCUGUAUGCACCUUAGGACUAAGGAGGAAGAAAUGGACAUUUUGACAUCUGAAAGGUUUGAUUUCUCAGUCUCUUCCAAUAGAGGGACUUCUGUGCCACUGUUCACCAUUGUCCUUACACAGGAGUGGUCUGCUCACUUGGGCUGCCCUACAGAACAGUUAAGGUAGCCAGAUAUCCAGACAGCUUCUCCUGUGCUCAGCUCUCAGUGAGUCCUCCAAGCCUUCCCCUCCAUCCUCAGCGCGUCUCUCCAGACAACUCCCUGAUGUGCAAACAAAGAAAGACGUUCACCUGGGCAACUAGAAAACCUCAAGCAUUCCUUGAAGACUCUUUGCUAAGGCUGACUUUAAAUAACUUUGAGAAUGGCAUUGUAAAGUAAUGUAGACAGCUCACUGACACAGAGGGAGGGUGGGUUAGAGACCACGGUGGCUACAGGAUGUGAGCAUGGUGCAAUGUCCUCUGCAUUGUUGCAUUGCCGCUCGAUGGUUGCAGAAUUCCUGGGAAGAUGUAAAGGAUUUGGAAAUCAUUUUUACAAUGGCUGUACAGGGUUGCGAGUGUGGUUAUGAUUAAAAUGGCAAACUUCCUGUCAUUUGAUUUUACCCACAACAAAGAGGCAUUUUCAUCCAGUUCCAUGCAAGGCAUUAUGCAUUCUACAGAAUCAGGGAAAGUAUAAGGACUUUGAUGACGGACACUGACAAGCCUAGCUCCGUGACAAAUGGCGCGUGUCUGUGGGGUCACUGGGCAUCACGAGUGUCAGAGUGCUUGAUAAACAGAAACUGGUAUGCAGCAGCUUACUCUGACUACGAAACUGAAUCUCCAGUCACAAAGAAAGCAGCUCUGGUGGUGCCAGGCACGCCGAUUACUGUGGAUUGUAAAAAGUAAGGCUGUGCCCUUCGAUAGACCUGCCUACCCUCUGUGCACAGCCACACGACUGACUCAAUGUUUCUAGCAUCCAAACCAGAGGGGUGACACUUUAGAUGAUCUCAUUAAAGAGACCCCAGGAAGAAGGUCCAGUCUCACAAAGGGCUUGUGUCCAUUCUCUGGAUAUAGGGCUAAAGCUCCUAGCUACAAGGGUUGGUGUGACAUCAUUGUCAUCCCAAUGCCAAGGCUACCUUCUGAGUAUGAAGUUCACCAUGUGCUGAAAACCUUAAGGGACAUUCUUCCCAUUUGACAAGCUUCUAGCACAUAGUGUAGGGAACAGAGGUGCCUAACACGUAAAGCUGUGUCAUCUUUAGACUGCGGCUAGCACUUCACCAAACUAAGUAUCCCUGGUAGGCAGUGUCCUUAGGCAGGCCAUGGGGACACUCUCUCCAGUACACACUGCCAAAAAGAUGAAGAAACUCUUGGUCACUUACAUUUCCAUGGUAGCUUUUUUUUUCUUUUCAAUAUUAGACUUUGUCUUACACAACUGCAAAUUUCUUCUAACCAAGACAGAAUUCUAAAAUGGGGGAUUCCUUAGCUAGUGAGGUACUUGCCGCACAAGCUUGUGGGCCCAAGUUCAGACCUCAGGCAUGGCAGCACUUGUCUGUAAUCCCGGAACUGAGAAAGCAUAUGCGUGGUCACCCAUGGUCACCCAUGGUCACCUGUGGUCACCCGUGGUGACCCCUGGGGUUUGGGUAGCUGAUCUAAGUGAGUUCCAGGCCAAUGUGAGACCCCUACCUCAACAAAUUAGAUUGAGAGCAAUUGAAGAGGACACCCAUUAUUGAUCUCUGGCGACUACAAUAAUGUACGAGCACACACAUUUACACAUAUACACACUCAAACACUAACUAAUGUGUUUAGUUGCUUUUUUGUUCUGUUUUUUGUUUUUGUUUUUAUUUUGUUUUUCAAGACAGAAUUUCUCUGUGGAGCCCUAGCUGUCCUAAACUCACUCUGUAGACCAGGCUGGCCUCAAACUCACAAAGAUCAGCCUGCCUCUGUCCCCCAAGUAGUGGGGCCACACCCCACAGGUCCCUCCCCUGGCUACAAACUAUUUUUUUUUAUUUAAAAAAAUCUGAAACUUUAGAAAAAGUAUUUUUAAUUGUUUAAAAUGUCUUAGAGAGCAAAUUCAUCUUUGUUUACCCUGAGUCCCCUUUGUGGCCAAAUCAGCACAUCGGGGCAGCUCUUCCCCAGAGCCACGCCCAAGCUCAGAUGGAAACAAUGUGACCACACUAGCCUGCUUCCCCAGGUUCUCACGUAGGUGCCCUCCGGCCCUGGUCACUGCCAGCUACCUGACUUCAUGUGCAUUUCGGUCACAUGUUUACUGGGGCUUAUGAACAGUGUCGCCCUUUUCUCUGUGAAUUAGUCGGAUUUCUAUAAAUUUUAGUGUCUUAGGGUCCUACUGCUGUGAUGAACAGCAUGACCAAGAGCAGCCUGGAGAGCAAAGAGUUCGCUUCAGUUUGCUCUCCUAUACAACUCAGGACAACCACCCCAGCGGUGGCACGAUCCACAAUAGGCUGAGACCUCCCAUAUCAGCUAUCGAUCAAGAUGAUUGACCACAGACUUGCCUUCAGGUCAGUCUGGACGGAGGCAUUUUCUCAAUUUAAGUUCCUCUUCCCAAAUAACUCAAGCUUGUAUGAAGUUAACAAAGAGCUAACCAAGACAUUUAGCUUAGCGUUAAGUACCAGAAUUGAAAUAGUUGAAAUGUUUAUUUUCUUAAUGAGGUUCUCUCUCCAGUCUCUCCUCACACACACAUGUAACAUGUAAACACACACACACGUAAACACAUACCUCCCACACAGGAGAACACACACACAUAAACACACAUACACAUGUAAACACACAUACACACGCCCACACACACACUUGAACACACACAUGUGAACACACAUGGACAUACACAAACACACAUACGCAUGCCCACACACACACGUGAACACACACAUGUGAACACAUGUGAACACACAUGAACACACACACACACGCCCACAUGAACACACCCACUGGCAGUGCCUGGCUUCUGUACAGGUGUUCUAGUGUCCUUCUGAAAGGGCUAAAUACGGUGUUAGAUUUGAACAGCUCUUCUGUCCCCCAGCUUGUCCCUAAAAGUGUAGUCUUGAGUACUACACACACCCUCUGAUGCCUACAUGGGCCUGGAGAAUUCGGAGAAACAGAACAGUCCGGGUUAUAAUUAGCAAACACUUUAGACAAGGAGCUGCGAUUCUGCGCGCCACUUCAGCGAUCCAUUUGUUACCCUGCAGAUGGCCCACAGGGAAAAGUCUAUUUUAGGAGCAUCUGGGUAGGGCCUGAGAGAAGAGGCCACAGGAGCAACCACUGCCUGGAUGGGGCAGGGGUUGAACAAAGGGGAAAAGGGCAGGUCUCCCCAUGGCCAAAUGGUGGUUCUGCUUUAAAGAUCAGAGGCAAGAAAGUGGCAAAUGGCACUGAAAUAAGCUAUGGUGCUCACCUCCGAGGAACAGAACUGGAAUCCAGUGUCCUCAGUCUGUGGAGGUCAAGAUCUACAGUGUUCCCGGGAGCAACGUGGUGGAUAAAGGGAGAAAUGACAAACAACUUGGAAAGCAAGCAAGACUGCAUCCGGCAUGUUUCAGAAUGCUGACACAAAACAAGAAAGAUGGAGAGCAGGGGAAACGGCCAAAGAAGAGACACCAAGGGCAAGAGCAUGUGCUUGAAAUCAAACAACUCAAACUCAGGAAGGCCAGCUUCAGGGAAAAAGUCAAGCCAAGCACCCUAAUUACAGAGAGGCUUGGUGAAGCCAGAUUUCCACACCCAGACCCUAAACACUGCAACUUCACCAUCCAUCUGUCCCAUAGAGAAGACCCUGGAUCCCCCUAUUUCAGGAUAACCAAGUAAGGAUUCAAAAAGUGUAAUGACAGCAAUUCAACUAAAACAGACACUGUCCGAUUACUUCAUACCCCUUAGAACUGCUGCUGCCAAAAAGCAGCCAAGUGUUGGGAAGAUGUGCAGAAUUGGGGGAAAUAAAAUAAUGACUGUAGAACAA